GCUGGUGUCACAAUGGUUAAAUGCUUGGCUGCUAACCAAAAGGUUGGUGGUUCAAACCCACCCAUCGUCU
rnacentral:tRNA from 1 species